rnacentral:rRNA from 1 species
CUUUGCCCAUGCCUGAACAUGUCCAAUCUUGUCUGAUCUUGGAAGCUAAGAAGGGUUGAGCCUGGUUACUACUUGAAUGGUAAACCAGUUUUAUGUCAUUUGGAUGCAAUGA